UUCGAAUCCAGGUUUCAUGAGAGGACCAAACAUUGUCAGGGAGAAGAUAGAAUCAAACGACAUUGUCACAAGUUUUGUCAACUCUAAUGAUCAAUUGGCAUGUGUUUACAAAAUCCCUACGAGAUCCUAAAACUAAUUAUAUAUGUGGACGGUAUGUACGCUCUUGUCAUGAAUAGAUCAAAAUGAGUCUUGAGGUCAUCACAGGGAGAGCCAGCCGUUGAGGUUACAAAUGAAGGUGUUGAUGCUGCAGGGCAUACAAUUGGUACAUCUUUGGAGGUCGUGUUCAAACUUAGGAAGGUUCUCAACCCCAAGAGUGUGAUCAAACCAACAUCACUAGCUAAAGAUUAUUUUGAGAAUAACAUCUAUCGAAUAAAUUUCAGACGAAAGAGCUUGGUAAACUCCUAUAUUUUUUGGGUAUUGAGGUAGUUCAAUCUAAAGAUUAUAUGGUUAUUUCUCCGGGGAAAUAUGCUAUGGAUACU